rnacentral:misc_RNA from 1 species
AAAGUCGUAACAAGGUUUCCGUAGGUGAACCUGCGGAAGGAUCAUUAAAAAGUUUGUCACAUCGUGACCUACUCUUGUGCAUCUGUUUACACGAUCUUGGCAGCUUAGUGCAAACGGUAUUUGCCUACUGUUUCACGUCUGCUGCAAAGCAGGAGCUGCCAAUGGACAAUUCUUGUCCAAACAAAACAAACUCUUAAAUAAAACCAAUGUCUGAAAAAAACUAUGAUUGAAUCAUAAUUUUAAACAACUUUUGACAACGGAUCUCUUGGCUCUC